rnacentral:misc_RNA from 1 species
GGGUGACCUAUGAUAGGCUGACCAUUCAAUUUGCUCAUUAGGGAGAUAUAUGGAACAUGCUGUGGACGAUAGCUCGCUUUGACCUCAAGAUUAACAUCAUACAGUGAGGAAUCAGCAGUGUGGUGCCUAAGAGAGAAAUCUGAUGACUCAUAUUUGGGGUUAACUGUAAAUCGAGACUGACGAUACGGUAGCAACCUCUGUGGAGUAAGCAGGUCUGCAGUUGGCCCCUUCAUUUGAGCUUCUCUAAGAGAAACAUUCCUGCUCCAACCUCGCAACUCAUCCACUU